rnacentral:rRNA from 1 species
AUACGGAGGGUGCAAGCGUUACUCGGAAUCACUGGGCGUAAAGCGCGCGCAGGCGGCUAUUUAAGUUGGAUGUGAAAGCCUACGGCUCAACCGUAGAACUGCAUCCAAAACUAUUUAGCUAGAGUGUGGGAGAGGAAGAUGGAAUUAGUUGUGUAUGGGUAAAAUCCGUAGAGAUAACUAGGAAUACCAAAAGCGAAGGCAAUCUUCUGGAACACUACUGACGCUGAGGCGCGAAAGCGUGGGGAGCAAACGGGAUUAGAAACCCCAGUAGUCC